GAUGAAGAACGCAGCGAAAUGCGAUAAGUAAUGCGGAUUGCAGAUCUCCGUGAGUCAUUGAAUCUUUGAACGCACAUUGCGCCCUCGGGUAUUCCCGAGGGCAUGCCUGUCCGAGCGUCAUUAUCCAACCAUCAAGCUCGGCUUGCGGUUGAGCCCCGCACCGUCCCCGGGACGGUGGGCUCGAAACAUGUUGGGCGCCCGUGAGGUUGUCGGUGCAGCGAGCUCUCGAGCACGUGCCGGGCAACCGCUCUGGGCGUCGGCCAGCCCCCCCAUUUUCUCAGGUUGACCUCGGAUCAGGUAGGAAUACCCGCUGAACUUAAGCAUAUCAAUAAGCGGAGGA
rnacentral:misc_RNA from 1 species